UCAAGCUACAUAGGGCACAUGAAGGAUGCCUUGGCAUCAGCAGGCGAAGAAGGACGUGGCAAGCUGCGAUAAGCCUCGGGGAGCUGCAUACAAGCUUUAAUCCGGGGAUUUCCGAAUGGAGCAAUCCAACAGAAGUAAUGUUCUGUUAUCUGCAACUGAAUACAUAGGUUGCAGAGGCGAUACUCAGUGAAGUGAAACAUCUCAGUAACUGAAGGAAUAGAAAUCAACCGAGAUUCCGCAAGUAGUGGCGAACGAACGCGGAAUAGCCUAAACCGGCAGGUUUACCUGUCGGGGUUGCGGGACUUAGACAUGACAUGCGGCCGGUUAGCACAACCGUCUGGGAAGUCGGGCCAUAGAGGGUGACAGCCCCCUGUGCGAAAACUGAAAGCAGUCUAUAAGUAUCCCAAGUAGGUCGGCACACGUGAAACUCCGACUGAAUCCGGGGAGACCACUCUCCAAGGCUAAAUACUAGCUGAUGACCGAUAGUGAAACAGUACCGCGAGGGAAAGGUGAAAAAGUACCCCUUUUAGGGGAGUGAAAAGUAUCUGAAAUCAUGUGCCUGCAAAGUGUGGGAGCCCUUCUGGGGUGACCGCAUGCCUUUUGCAUAAUGAGCUUGCGACUUACUUUAAGCAGCCAGGUUAAGCCAUAGGCGGAGCCGAAGCGAAAGCGAGUGUUAACAGCGCGUCAAGUUGCUUGAAGUAGACCCGAAGCUGAGUGAUCUAUCCAUGGUCAGGUUGAACCUCCGGUAACACGGAGUGGAGGACCGAACCGGUGAGCGUUGAAAAGCUUUCGGAUGAACUGUGGAUAGGAGCGAAAGACCAAUCAAACUCAGUGAUAGCUGGUUCUCUUCGAAAUAUCUUGAGGGAUAGCCUUACGCCAUUGACUUACGGGGGUAGAGCACUGAUUGUCCGCGGGUCCUUACCGGGAUACCAACGACUGUCAAACUUCGAAUACCGUUAAGUUUUACCGUAGGAGUCAGACUGUGGGGGAUAAGCUUCAUAGUCGAGAGGGAAACAACCCAGAUCGCCGUCUAAGGUCCCUAAUUUAAGCUAAGUGGUUUGAAGGAUGUGAAGUUGCGUAAACAACCAGGAUGUUGGCUUAGAGGCAGCCAUCAUUUAAAGAUCGCGUAAUAGCGCACUGGUCGAGUGAUUUUGCGCCGAAGAUGAUCGGGACUAAGCUUAAAACCGAAGACGCGGAUGUACAGCAAUGUACGUGGUAGAAGAGCGUUGUAUGAGGAGCGAAGCGUGAAUGAGAAUGAGCGUGGACUUCAUACAAGUGACCAUGCAAGCAUGAGUAGCGAAAAACCGGAUGGAAAUUCCGGUCACCGUAAGACCAAGGUUUCCCGGGGAAGGUUCGUCCGCCCGGGGUUAGCCGGAUCCUAAGGCCAGGCCGAAAGGCGUAGUCGAUGGACAACGGGUUAAUAUUCCCGUGCCGCCUUAACGGAGUGACGGAGUGACGCAGUAUGCUAAGCGAGCUGGCUAUAUGCCAGUCUAAUGUCGUAGGACGUCAGGGGUUAAAUGACCUGACAUCAAGUCUGAAAACGGAUGGGACUCGAAGCCUUCGGGUAACGGGGAUUCGCUGAUGCUUUGCUGACGAGAAAAGCUCCUAAACGUUGAUGUUUUGGCGUCCGUACCGUAAACCGACACAGGUGGUCGAGGCGAGUAGCCUAAGGUGCGCGAGUGAAACCACUUCAAGGAACUCGGCAAAUUAGCCCCGUAACUUUGGGAGAAGGGGUGCCGAACGGGUGCAUAGCCCGGACGGUUUCAACAAAGAGGCCGCGGCGACUGUUUAACAAAAACAUAGCUCUCUGCUAACUCGCAAGAGGAUGUAUAGGGAGUGACACGUGACCAAUGCCGAAAGGUCAAUCGGAUCCGUUAGCAGAAAUGCGAAGCGGUGAUGUGAAGCCCCGGUGAAUGUCGGCCGUAACUAUAACGGUCCUAAGGUAGCGAAAUUCCUUGUCGGGUAAGUUCC
rnacentral:rRNA from 1 species